rnacentral:tRNA from 3 species
GCCCUCGUAGCUCAGUGGACAGAGCGGGCGCCUUCUAAGCGCCGAGGCGCAGGUUCGAGUCCUGCCGAGGGCG